rnacentral:rRNA from 1 species
UACCUGCAGCUCAAGUGGUGAUCAUUAUUAUUGGGCCUAAAACGUCCGUAGCCGGUUUAGUAAAUGCCUGGGUAAAUCGUGUAGCUUAACUAUACGAAUUCCGGGUAGACUACUAAACUUGAGACCGGGAGAGGCUAGAGGUACUCCUGGGGUAGAGGUGAAAUUCUGUAAUCCUAGGGGGACCACCAGUGGCGAAGGCGUCUAGCUAGAACGGGUCUGACGGUGAGGGACGAAGCCCUGGGGCACAAACCGGAUUAGAUACCCGGGUAGUCCAGGGUGUAAACGCUGCUUGCUUGAUGUUAGUUGGGCUCCGAGCCAAACUAGUGUCGGAGAGAAGUUGUUAAGCAAGCUGCCUGGGAAGUACGGUCGCAAGGCUGAAACUUAAAGGAAUUGGCGGGGGAGCACAGCAACGGGUGGAGCGUGCGGUUU